GCCAGCCUCCCCUCCCCACCAGCACCUCACUCAACCCAGCCCUGACAGAGGGGAGGGAGGAGGGAGAGAGGGGUGCCACAGAGCCUGCCUCGCCUCACCUCAGCCGGGGGGAAAGAGUCACACUCACAGGACCCAGCAGCCCUGCUUCUACACUGUCUGGGCUGCCUGCAGAGUGGUGCCCCCAGGGAGAGUGAGGCCCUACGCGGCUGCCUAUUCUGCCUAUGCCUAAGGAUGGCCCUGCAAGAUAUACCACAUCUACUAUUUCCCCCUAUCCACAAGAUGGACACUAUAUUUGCCCUUUUCCAGUCUUCUGGAAUCUCUCUCAUCUUCCAUGACUUUCCAAAGAUAAUUGCUAAUGGUUCAGAUAUCUCCUCAGUCAGCUCCUUGAGUAUUUUAGGAUGCAUUUCAUCAGGUCCU